rnacentral:sRNA from 1 species
CGGCGGGUGCCGCGCGGGGGGCGGGCGGCGCGGAGUAAGCGGCGGCGGCCAUGGCCGAGGCGUCGCCGCAUCCCGGACGGUACUUCUGCCACUGCUGCUCCGUGGAGAUCGUCCCGCGCCUGCCGGAUUAUAUCUGUCCAAGAUGCGAGUCUGGUUUUAUCGAGGAGCUUCCGGAAGAGACCAGGUAAUGCAGCCCCCUGUCGAAGAGGCUGGAAGAGCCAGCCGGGCCUCAGCUGUUGUAGGGGUGUGGGCUGUGCAGGCAGCAGUGUGCCGUUCCCUUCUGUGAUGGCCGGGCCGGGGCCAGAGGGGAGUGCCGGCAACCUGUGCAGCUGCUCACCUCCCUCAGCCUCGGCGGCUGAUCUGGUGACCCAGGCCCUCCGGGGAAGGGGCCAUGGGGGCCCCACCCACAUCCUCACACUUAGGAGGUUGUUGGGGUCUGCACUGGUUUACAGAGAAACCCGUGGUUUACUGGCCAGGGAAGAAGCAGCAGGUUACGGCGCCAAAUGCUGAGGCGGUGGCGGGUGGGAAGCAGUGCCAAGGACAAUUCCUGCUCUCCCAACAUGGGCUUUUGAGGGGAGG